rnacentral:rRNA from 1 species
UACGAAGGGGGCUAGCGUUGCUCGGAAUUACUGGGCGUAAAGAGCGCGUAGGCGGAUCGUUAAGUCAGAGGUGAAAGCCCAGGGCUCAACCUUGGAAUUGCCUUUGAUGCUGACGAUCUAGAGACCGGAAGAGGUAAGUGGAACUGCGAGUGUAGAGGUGAAAUUCGUAGAUAUUCGCAAGAACACCAGUGGCGAAGGCGGCUUACUGGUCCGGUUCUGACGCUGAGGCGCGAAAGCGUGGGGAGCAAACAGG